rnacentral:sRNA from 1 species
GCUGGGUAGGGUGGUGUGUGCCUGUAAUCCCAGUGACUUGGGAGGCUAAGGCAGGAAGAUCACAAGUUUAAGGUCAGCCUAAACAACUGAGUGAGACCCUGCCUCAA